UGGAAGUUUGUACUUUAGCAAUCAGUCACGUGGUCACAUAGAAUAAGCCAAUCAAAAUCGACGCUGCGUACCAUGUGAUCGGAAAAAUCGAAAUGGUGGACGUAUUGGGACGCAGGAUCCCGAGAGGAGACGAAGGACGAUAAACUGGGCAAGCGCUCAUGAUUCGUGUCAUCGGUAUUAUCAAUCUAAGAACACGAUUAAGCACGAGUAUUAGUGUAAUUUCCAGUAGAAUCGACGACGACUGAACUAACGCAAAAGUAUCGGUGACAGUAGAUCUUGUUUACUGAAGUGUCAAUCCGCCCGUAUUGUACGUGUAUUCUCCAAGUGCGAACAGAAAACAGAAGAACAGUGUAUAUCGAGUACGCGAGAACCACAGCUGUACAUAUCGUUCUCUCGAUAAUACGUUUUGGUAACUGUGUAUGAAGAAAGAGAAUAUAUUUUGAAUGUAUGAGCAAGACGGAAGAAAACUGAAAGUUGUGAACAGACGGCAGUGCAUUUACAGUAAAAUUUCAAGUUUUUGGAAGCAUGUCCAAGAAUGCGCGCGCGAGAGUUUUGAUAAUUUAUAAGAAUGUGUCACACUGAGCAUCUUGUUAUCAGUAACGGAGAUAAGAUACUUCCAUAACGCACAAAAGUUUUAUAAUACAAAUGCAAAUAUAUCUGUAAUCUUCUGCAAUAAGUGUAUUAAAAUACUCAAAUGGUACGAGGAUGUUUACAAAACAUUGAAAACCUUGGAUUAUUGUCUCAGUGGAGAUACUGAGUUACUGCCUGCCAACAAUAGCACACCUAUACUCUUUUCAACUAUAUAGUGAAUCUUAUGAUAAAAUAUAAUGGCUGUCAGAAAGGUUUUGUUGGACAUUCAGUGUUAAAUAAAUGAUAUCUGAGUUAAACACA